AGCAGCCGCGGUAAUUCCAGCUCCAAUAGCGUAUAUUAAAGUUGUUGCAGUUAAAAAGCUCGUAGUUGAAUUUCGAGACCGGUUUACUGGUCGUGCUUUUGUACGUACUGGUAUUAUUGGUUUCUCCUUUCUGACGAACUAUAAUGCCAUUAAUUUGGUGUUUUAGGGAAUCAGGACUGUUACUUUGAAAAAUUAGAGUGUUUAAAGCAGGCUCACGCUUGAAUACAUUAGCAUGGAAUAACGGAAUAGGACGUUUGAUUCUAUUUUGUUGGUUUCUAGGAUCGACGUAAUGAUUAAUAGGGAUAGUUGGGGGCAUUAGUAUUCAAUUGUCAGAGGUGAAAUUCUUGGAUUUAUUGAAGACUAACUACUGCGAAAGCAUUUGCCAAGGAUGUUUUCAUUAAUCAAGAACGAAAGUUAGGGGAUCGAAGACGAUCAGAUACCGUCGUAGUCUUAACCAUAAACUAUGCCGACU
rnacentral:rRNA from 1 species